GAUAGGGUGUUGAGUGCAUAACCGUGGUUGUUUUCUGAGGGCAAUGGGUAAAUCGGUAUUAGAUAACUCUGAUACUUUCUGAGGUGGAGCUACCAUCGGUUCUGAUUCUUUUAGUGCUUCAGUCGUGAGAUUCUCUGUGUACUUUGAUUUUGGCUUUCGUGAGUAAACUAAUAUCUCCUUAUCCUUUUGUUUUUCUACGUCUCCCCCUGUAUUCAAAUUUUCCUUUGUUAAUGGCAUAUUAGCAUCGGAUGGAGGAAUAAAUAGAGAAGGUUCAGG
rnacentral:lncRNA from 1 species